rnacentral:misc_RNA from 1 species
GCCAUGAUGUGAAGAACGUCCCGAUGCUGCUGAGAUGCGCAAAGCGUGUGAUCGAUAUCAGGCCCGGUGCCCACUUUGCUAUUGCCGGCGAAGGCGAACUGGAAUGGAGUCUGAAGCAACGGGCCAGGGAACUUGGGAUCGAUCGGAACAUACAUUUCCUGGGCCGGUGUACUGAUGUCCCCGGGCUCCUUUCCGCGUCGCAUAUUUGUGUGCUGACUUCGACCGCCGAGGGCUUUUCCAAUUCCAUCCUCGAAUACAUGGCCGCCGGAAAACCGGUUGUCGCGACCGAUGUUGGCGGUGCCGCCGAGGCGAUAUCGGAUGGUGUCAGCGGAUAUCUGGUCGAUUCUAACGAUGAUGAAGCGAUGGCGGAUAGGCUUGUCGAGCUCCUGCAUGAUGCUGAUAAGGCUGAGCGUUUCGGCCGCGAAGGCAGGGCGAUCGCUGAAAAGAGGUUCUCGUUCGCAACCCGGUUGAACAAGACCCUCGCUCUCUACUCCGAACUCCUGGAUCGAAAAUAACUGAUGGCCCUUCACGUUUUACAACUUGGCCCAUAUCCUCCGCCCGAGGGCGGGAUCAGCCGUAACAUGCUCGCUAUCCGUGACCAUCUCAGGUCAAAUGGCGAUCUCUGCUCGAUCAUUGCCACGUCGCGAAGCACUCAAACUAACGGUGAACCGGACGUGUAUCAUCCUCGCUCGCCCCGUUUCGUUGAUCAGGUUGCUGGCAUCGCUGAAAUUUGACGUAUUGCACCUCCAUAUUGGAGGCGACAUCAGUCCCCGUGUUCUCGCCCUUGCGUUCGUAUGCGGUGUAUUUGGACGCGGGCGGAGUGUGCUAACCAUGCACUCAGGAGCUUAUCCGCUGACCGACGAGGCUCGUGAUGCCUCGCCUGACUCUAUCCGUGGCAGGAUCUUUCGGAAGUUUUCCCGGAUCAUAGCGGUAAGUGAGUCGAUCGCUGAUGUCUUUCGAAGGUACGGCCUGCCCGGGGACCGCAUCAAGGUGAUUUCUCCUUUCUUGUUUAGCAGGCCUGAUCCAAGCGUUGCAGUCCCCCGGGACCUUUCCCAAUUUAUCACGGAUCACUCACCUCUCAUGAUCUCGGUAGGAGGUCUCGAAAAGGACUACGAUCCGUUGUUCCAGAUCUCGGUGAUGAGGGAUGUGCUCGAUGAAUUUCCAAACGCGGCCCUGUUGAUCGUUGGUGACGGGUCUUUAAGACGCGAGGUUGAAGCGGCCAUAGCCGCCAGCGGUUAUAAGGACCGGAUCCAUCUCACGGGAAAUAUCCCGCACGCAGUAACGCUUCAUCUGAUCAAUGAUGCCGACAUUCUCUUGCGAACGACGCUUUUCGACGGUGACGCCAUUUCUGUGCGCGAGGCACUCUAUCUCGGAACUCCGGUGAUAGCAACCGACAAUCGAAUGCGGCCCGACGGGGUUGAUCUGAUCCCCAUGGGGAACAAAGAGGCUCUCGUAAUGAGAGUUAAAGAGAACAUGUCGAACUCAAGGCCGAAAAAACCUCUUACAGCCUCGGAUACGUCGAAUAUAGACGCCGUCGCUAAGCUCUACCACGAGAUCAGUCUAUUUUAAGCGGUCCAAACAGGUGCGAAGGUAGUAUCGGACGAGAUUAUCUUUGUGCAGGUUAAGGUCAAAGAACUCUCUGGCGUUAACGGCUAUCUGCUCGCGUUCAUCGUCAUUGGCCAGGUAGUAUUCGCAAAGUUCAGUCAGGUCCGAAAGAUCUUCUUUACAAUAGACGAUAUGUUUGCGGUCAAUUAGCGGCACGUUCAGUUGUGCCUUAUGCGGAUAGGCAAUUACGCACGAACCGAUGGCCAAAUAGUUCAUGAGCCGAAAGCAAAAGGGGCCGAGUCCGGGCAGAUCGAUACAGAUCCGUGAACGGCUGAUCUCUUUUAAAAAUUCAGAAUAAGAGACAGGAUUCAUCCCGCCACGAAAGCCGAAAUUGUCCUGGGCAUUCAGGAUACCGGUCGCCCUUUCGCGGACCUCUUUUGAAUAAUUGAGUCCAAACCUUCCGUUGACGUCGGAUGAAUAACGCCUUUCAUCUCGCAUUCGG